rnacentral:rRNA from 1 species
AUUGAACGCUGGCGGCAGGCUUAACACAUGCAAGUCGAGCGGAGAUGAGGUGCUUGCACCUUAUCUUAGCGGCGGACGGGUGAGUAAUGCUUAGGAAUCUGCCUAUUAGCGGGGGACAACAUUCCGAAAGGAAUGCUAAUACCGCAUACGCCCUACGGGGGAAAGCAGGGGAUCUUCGGACCUUGCGCUAAUAGAUGAGCCUAAGUCGGAUUAGCUAGUUGGUGGGGUAAAGGCCUACCAAGGCGACGAUCUGUAGCGGGUCUGAGAGGAUGAUCCGCCACACUGGGACUGGAACACGGCCCAGACUCCUACGGGAGGCAGCAGUGGGGAAUAUUGGACAAUGGGCGGAAGCCUGAUCCAGCCAUGCCGCGUGUGUGAAGAAGGCCUUUUGGUUGUAAAGCACUUUAAGCGAGGAGGAGGCUACCUGGAUUAAUACUCUAGGAUAGUGGACGUUACUCGCAGAAUAAGCACCGGCUAACUCUGUGCCAGCCGCCGCAGUAACAC